rnacentral:rRNA from 1 species
GACACGACUCUCGGCAAUGGAUAUCUCGGCUCUCGCAUCGAUGAAGAGCGCAGCGAAAUGCGAUAUGUGGUGCGAAUUGCAGAAUCCCGCGAACCAUCGAGUCUUUGAACGCAAGUUGCGCCUGAGGCCAACUGGCUGAGGGCACGUCCGCCUGGGCGUCAAGC